rnacentral:rRNA from 1 species
GAUGAACGCUGGCGGCGUGCCUAAUACAUGCAAGUCGAGCGAACAGACGAGGAGCUUGGUCCACUGACGUUACCGACGGACGGGUGAGUAACACGUGGAUAACCUACCUAUAAGACUUGGAUAACUUCGGGAAAGCGGAGCUACUACCGGAUAAUAUAUUGAACCGCAUGGUUCAAUAGUGAAAUACGGUUUUGCUGUCACUUAUAGAUGGAUCCGCGCCGCAUUAGCUAGUUGGUACGGUAACGGCUUACCAAGGCGACGAUGCGUAGCCGACCUGAGAGGGUGAUCGGCCACUCUGGAACUGAGACACGAUCCAGACUCCUACGGGCGGCAGCAGUAGGGAAUCUUCCGCGAUGGGCGAAAGCCUGACGGAGCAACGCCGCGUGAGUGAUGAAGGUCUUCGGAUCGUAAAACUCUGUUAUUAGGGAAGAACAAAUGUGUAAGUAACUAUGCACUUCUUGACGGUACCUAAUCAGAAAGCCCCGGCUAACUACGUG